ACAGUGCUGUGUGUGACACAACAGUGCAAUGUGUGACACAACAGUGCAAUGUGUGACACAACAGUGCAAUGUGUGACACAACAGUGCUGAGUGUGACACAACAGUGCAAUGUGUGACACAACAGUGCUGAGUGUGACACAACAGUGCUGUGUGUGACACAACAGUGCUGUGUGUGACACAACAGUGCAAUGUGUGACACAACAGUGCUGUGUGACACAACAGUGCUGAGUGUGACACAACAGUGGCAAUGUGUGACACAACAGUGCUGAGUGUGACACAACAGUGC
rnacentral:lncRNA from 1 species